UACGAAGGGGGCUAGCGUUGUUCGGAAUCACUGGGCGUAAAGGGCGCGUAGGCGGCCGAUCAAGUCGGGGGUGAAAGCCUGUGGCUCAACCACAGAAUUGCCUUCGAUACUGUUUGGCUUGAGACCGGAAGAGGUAAGUGGAACUGCGAGUGUAGAGGUGAGAUUCGUAGAUAUUCGCAAGAACACCAGUGGCGAAGGCGGCUUACUGGUCCGGUUCUGACGCUGAGGCGCGAAAGCGUGGGGAGCAAACAGG
rnacentral:rRNA from 1 species